UACAGAGGGGGCAAGCGUUGUUCGGAAUUACUGGGCGUAAAGGGCGCGUAGGCGGUCCGAUAAGUCCCGUGUGAAAGCCCCCGGCUCAACUGGGGAACUGCACGGGAAACUGACGGACUUGAGUUCGGGAGAGGGAAGCGGAAUUCCGGGUGUAGCGGUGAAAUGCGUAGAUAUCCGGAGGAACACCGGUGGCGAAGGCGGCAUCCUGGACCGGCAUUGACGCUGAGGAGCGAAAGCUAGGGGAGCAAACGGG
rnacentral:rRNA from 1 species